CAUGCCGUAAACGAUGUCAACUAGCUGUUGGAUGCUGAUAAGUAUUUAGUAGCGAAGCAAACGCGAUAAGUUGACCGCCUGGGGANCAACGCGAAGAACCUUACCUACCCUUGACAUAGAGCGAACCUAGUGGAGACACUGGGGUGCCGAAAGGAACGCUCAUACAGGUGC
rnacentral:rRNA from 1 species